GAGUUUGAUCCUGGCUCAGAUUGAACGCUGGCGGCAGGCCUAACACAUGCAAGUCGAACGGUAACAGGAAGCAGCUUGCUGCUUCGCUGACGAGUGGCGGACGGGUGAGUAAUGUCUGGGAAGCUGCCUGAUGGAGGGGGAUAACUACUGGAAACGGUAGCUAAUACCGCAUAAUGUCGCAAGACCAAAGAGGGGGACCUUCGGGCCUCUUGCCAUCGGAUGUGCCCAGAUGGGAUUAGCUUGUUGGUGGGGUAACGGCUCACCAAGGCGACGAUCCCUAGCUGGUCUGAGAGGAUGACCAGCCACACUGGAACUGAGACACGGUCCAGACUCCUACGGGAGGCAGCAGUGGGGAAUAUUGCACAAUGGGCGCAAGCCUGAUGCAGCCAUGCCGCGUGUAUGAAGAAGGCCUUCGGGUUGUAAAGUACUUUCAGCGGGGAGGAAGGGAGUAAAGUUAAUACCUUUGCUCAUUGACGUUACCCGCAGAAGAAGCACCGGCUAACUCCGUGCCAGCAGCCGCGGUAAUACGGAGGGUGCAAGCGUUAAUCGGAAUUACUGGGCGUAAAGCGCACGCAGGCGGUUUGUUAAGUCAGAUGUGAAAUCCCCGGGCUCAACCUGGGAACUGCAUCUGAUACUGGCAAGCUUGAGUCUCGUAGAGGGGGGUAGAAUUCCAGGUGUAGCGGUGAAAUGCGUAGAGAUCUGGAGGAAUACCGGUGGCGAAGGCGGCCCCCUGGACGAAGACUGACGCUCAGGUGCGAAAGCGUGGGGAGCAAACAGGAUUAGAUACCCUGGUAGUCCACGCCGUAAACGAUGUCGACUUGGAGGUUGUGCCCUUGAGGCGUGGCUUCCGGAGCUAACGCGUUAAGUCGACCGCCUGGGGAGUACGGCCGCAAGGUUAAAACUCAAAUGAAUUGACGGGGGCCCGCACAAGCGGUGGAGCAUGUGGUUUAAUUCGAUGCAACGCGAAGAACCUUACCUGGUCUUGACAUCCACGGAAGUUUUCAGAGAUGAGAAUGUGCCUUCGGGAACCGUGAGACAGGUGCUGCAUGGCUGUCGUCAGCUCGUGUUGUGAAAUGUUGGGUUAAGUCCCGCAACGAGCGCAACCCUUAUCCUUUGUUGCCAGCGGUCCGGCCGGGAACUCAAAGGAGACUGCCAGUGAUAAACUGGAGGAAGGUGGGGAUGACGUCAAGUCAUCAUGGCCCUUACGACCAGGGCUACACACGUGCUACAAUGGCGCAUACAAAGAGAAGCGACCUCGCGAGAGCAAGCGGACCUCAUAAAGUGCGUCGUAGUCCGGAUUGGAGUCUGCAACUCGACUCCAUGAAGUCGGAAUCGCUAGUAAUCGUGGAUCAGAAUGCCACGGUGAAUACGUUCCCGGGCCUUGUACACACCGCCCGUCACACCAUGGGAGUGGGUUGCAAAAGAAGUAGGUAGCUUAACCUUCGGGAGGGCGCUUACCACUUUGUGAUUCAUGACUGGGGUGAAGUCGUAACAAGGUAGCCGUA
rnacentral:rRNA from 1 species